rnacentral:lncRNA from 15 species
UGUAUUGCUAUAGAAAAGUGGGAGGUUAAGUAGCUUUUUCAUGGAUGGCCAAAUGAGGUUGUGUUUGAAGGUGGGACGUCAGGGAUAUUUAGGUUUGUUGUGAAAUGUGUAGAUUGAUAACUAUUGUGUUUUCAUAUAAUUUGGCUUUUAGCAAGGCCAAUUCUCCACACCCUCCUCUGUGUGAAAGUUUCAGAUGUGGCGAGGGGGGAAAUUUCGCUCCGUCCCUGAUCCUCCUCUGGAGAUAGUAUCAGGGACGCAGGAGCGAGGGCGUGUCGGUCAGACAGUCUGAUAACUGCUCAGGUCUCUCACUCAACUUAAUAAAGAGAAAUGUCCCACAAAGCAACGUUACAGGACCAAACAACAGUAACGUAGUAACUGUAACUGUCUUUGGAAACUUACAUGAGGAAAAAAAUACCACAGCUGUACGUGGAGAAGCGUCUGUCCUCCUGUCUGUCCUACCGACUGUCCUACCGACUCUUCCGUUACAUUUCUGUCCGAAAAACAGCGUCUGUCACCGGCGAAAAACGGAGUGUAUGCAAUCAAAAAUCACCGCGACCGCCAGCCCUCCGGACCGAGACAUCAGUUUACUUUCCACCGGAAAGUUUCAGUGACAAAGAGAAACAAAUGUGAAUAAUGAAGCAGAGACUUUACUGGAGGAAAUGAAUAAUGAAUCAAUGAAACCUGCAUCAAGCAGGAUUGGAUUAUUGGGAAAUAAUGGAAUAUACUAGAUUAACAAAGGUAUGUCUUAUUUGGAAAAGGAUAAAUGAAGUCAGAUGUUCCCACAACUUAUCCAAUACUCAAGUAUUCACACCCCAUUAAAAGUUUUUGUGUUUUAUUGUUUUACAACACUGAAAAAAUACAAAAUACAGGUGACAAGUAUUUAAUAGUAGGAGUAGUACUUAUUAGGACACACCUUAAUCAGCACUAAUGCAACCAACUGGUUUUAGAAGUCACAUUAUUAUUUCAAUAAAUAGUAGUAUAAAUACCCCUGUAUCUAUAGUGUAAAUGCCCCUGUAUCUGUAGUAUAAAUGCCCCUGUAUCGGUAGUAUAAAUACCCCUGUAUCU